rnacentral:lncRNA from 1 species
AUGCACUGCCUACACAAGGGAGAUCAGGUCCCUAAGCAGAGUUCUCUGAGCAAACUUUGUCCUUUCAUUGAUUCAGAAGGCCUUCUCCGCGUCAGAGGACGACUGAAAAGGUCACAACUCACAGCAGAAGAAGGUCAGCCGAUUAUCAUGCCUGGUAAACAUCAUGUUACCUCCUUGCUUAUCAGACACUACCAUGAGCAAGUCUGUCACCAAGGACGUCACUUGACAGAAGGCGCUUUGAGGAGUGCUGGGUUUUGGAUCAUUGGAGGCAGACGAUCCAUCAGCAGUUUGAUCUACACCUGUGUGACAUGUCGAAGACUGCGUGGGAGAGAAGAGGAGCAGAUAAUGGCGGACCUGCCUGCUGAUCGUUUGAGUUCAGAUCCUCCAUUUACCUCUGUUGGGUUGGACGUGUUCGGACCUUGGUGUGUCACCUCAAGGAGGACACGUGGAGGGCUAGCCAACAGUAAGCGCUGGGCAGUCAUCUUCACAUGUAUGAGCACACGUGCCAUACACAUCGAGGUCAUCGAAUCACUGGAUUCAUCCAGUUUCAUUAACGCUCUAAGACGCUUCUUUGCAGUUAGAGGGCCUGUCAAACAACUAAGGUCAGACUGUGGAACUAAUUUUGUUGGAGCCUGCCGAGAGCUUGGGAUCAGUUCAAAGGGCUGUAGCAAUAAGGACGUGUCCAACUACCUGUCUGAUCAGGGCUGUGUUUGGUUGUUCAACCCUCCCCACUCUUCACACAUGGGAGGAAGCUGGGAGAGGAUGAUUGGUGUCACACGUCGGAUCCUUGACGCAAUGUUCCUCAAGCUUGGGUCCGUUCAGCUCACUCAUGAGGUCCUGACAACAUUGAUGGCAGAGGUAACUGCAAUUGUCAAUUCCAGACCGCUUACUUCAGUGUCCACAGAUCCAGACGAACCUCUCAUCCUCACUCCUGCUAUGUUGCUAACUCAGAAGAUUGCUGUACCUCCUGUUCCUCCUGGUAACUUUGGUGAUAGUAAUAUUUUUAGACGUCAGUGGCAUCAGGUUCAAAGCUUAGCCAACACAUUCUGGGAGAGGUGGAAAAGGGAGUACCUCAGUAGUCUACAAGGUCGAAAGAAAUGGAGAACAGAGAGGCCUAAUCUCAUGGACGGAGAUGUUGUUCUGAUGAAAGACAAUUCACUGGGGAGACAUGACUGGCCCACAGGACUGAUCACGGAGACUUUUCCGAGUGANUACCUCAGUAGUCUACAAGGUCGAAAGAAAUGGAGAACAGAGAGGCCUAAUCUCAUGGACGGAGAUGUUGUUCUGAUGAAAGACAAUUCACUGGGGAGACAUGACUGGCCCACAGGACUGAUCACGGAGACUUUUCCGAGUGAGGAUGGAAAGGUCAGGAAGGUUGAGGUGAAGAUAGUCAGAGACAAUGUUCCGAAACUGUACGUAAGGCCAGUGUCUGAAGUUAUACUUCUGUUGCAAAGAAACUCUGUGAAGUAA